rnacentral:misc_RNA from 1 species
AACGCACCUUGCGCUCUCUGGUAUUCCGGAGAGCAUGCCUGCUUGAGUGUCAUGAACUCUUCAACCCACCGGUUCCUUGUUGAACUGCUGUGGUGUUUGGAUUUUGAACGCUGCUAUGUAAUUAGCUCGUUCGUAAUACAUUAGCAUCUCAAUUUCGUAAUCGGAUUGACUCAGCGUAAUAGACUAUUCGCUGAGGACACUCUUUCAGAGUGGCCGAGACAUGAAGAGUUAGAAGCUUCAAACCCAUCUAGUCAUUUUUUAAGAUUAGACCUCAGAUCAGGCAGGAUUACCCGCUGAACUUAA